UACGUAGGUGGCAAGCGUUGCUCGGAAUGACUGGGCGUAAAGGGCGUGUAGGCGGUUUUGACAGUCAGAUGUGAAAUCCCCGGGCUUAACCUGGGAGCUGCAUUUGAGACGUUAAGACUAGAGUGUGAGAGAGGGUUGUGGAAUUCCCAGUGUAGAGGUGAAAUUCGUAGAUAUUGGGAAGAACACCGGUGGCGAAGGCGGCAACCUGGCUCAUUACUGACGCUGAGGCGCGAAAGCGUGGGGAGCAAAC
rnacentral:rRNA from 1 species